UCCAAUUAAGGUCAUGAUAUCAUGGUGGACAAAGGCCAUGUCCCAUGGGGUGUGCGAGAGCAUUUCCUUAGCACCUGACUGACCGCCUUUCUUAAAAUUGCAAUCAGAGCAGUUGACUUUUGAUUGUCUUCAAAUUUGAAGAUUUAGUUUGAGGUUAAGGAUUUUGUAGUGUCAUUAAGAGAAUUGAGACAAACACAGUAACACUGAUAUUUUUUAUUCUAAGAGUAGAAAUAAUACACAGUAAAAUAGAUAAAUGAUGUAUGAAAUAUAAGUUUUGAAAAAUAAUUGGCUACAUGUACGUCCUCUUUUCGUGAAUAUUCUUUAAUGCUGCUUUUGAUCAUUCACAUCUAGGUUCGCAAAAGAAUGCUUCAGUGAAAGAGGAGUGAAAGGUGUUUAGAUGAGGAGUCUUGUAAACCUCCGGAUGAUAGUGAGUGAUCAGUAAGUGCGACGGUGACAAUGAUGGAGAUGGCGAUGGAGACUGGAAUUCAGAUUUCUUUCAAGAUGAAUAAUGGAGAUUUUUUCCAACAUUUCAGUGGUUGUACUCAAGUAAUAAAGUUUAAUUUCUAUCUUUGAGUGAUUUGUUUCUUUAAUUUCUUUAGCUCCAACUCUUUGCAGUCACUUUAGAUGGACAAUAUGAAAGUAUGUAAUUCCCUUUGUCGUGGUUAACUGUGUCAUAAAAAAAACCGUUUAAAAUUUUAGAAUUAAAAAAACUUCCAUCUUGCUCGCGGGGCUUGAACCUUAUAUUUUCAGGUACAAUUUGUACCUUACCACAAUCGGUGGCUUUCAUCCAAGGGUGUUACAUUUGUGCCUUGCCUCCAGUGGCAAUAAAUAUAUACCUUAAAUUCAGGGGUCCUGAAUUCGAGCCUUAAGUUCAGAGACACCAAUUUCGUACGUUAAGUUUAGGCUUUCCCGUUCAGGAGCUUUACAUGCAAGGGUUCUUAGAAAAAGUACACGAGAUAGUAAUGUACAAUCGAACAUCAAGGAAAAAUGAAAGUGCGCGGGGUACUAACGUAAGAAUUGAACAACAGGUAGAAGUAAAAGUGUGCAAGAUAUUAACAAAAAUAUCGGGUAAAACGAGAAUUGAAGGAGAUACUAAAGAAAUAAUUGGACGACGAGGAAAAAUGAAAGUGUAUGAGGUGCUAACGUAACAAUGGACAACAAGGAAAAAAAAGUGCACAAGAUACUAGCGUAACUUUCGGACAUCUAGGAAAAGUAAAAGUUUGCAAGGUACUAACGUAACAACUGUAUAACAAAGGAAAUGAUAUAAGGGCACAAGAUACCAAAGUAAUAAUCGGACAACAAGUAAACAAAAAGUGAGAUACUGACGUAACAAUCGGACA